GACAGAGGGUGCAAACGUUGUUCGGAUUUACUGGGCGUAAAGCGCGUGUAGGCGGCCUUGCAAGUCGGAUGUGAAAGCCCACGGCUCAACCGUGGAAGUGCAUCCGAAACUGCAUAGCUUGAGUCUCGGAGAGGAAGGUGGAAUGCUUGGUGUAGAGGUGAAAUUCGUAGAUAUCAAGCAGAACACCGGUGGCGAAGGCGACCUUCUGGGCCGUUUCUGACGCUGAGGUACGAAAGCGUGGGGAGCAAACAGG
rnacentral:rRNA from 1 species